rnacentral:rRNA from 1 species
AGCAGCCGCGGUAAUUCCAGCUCCAAUAGCGUAUAUUAAAGUUGUUGCAGUUAAAAAGCUCGUAGUUGAAUUUCGGGAUCGAUACGUCGGUCGUGCUUAUUGGUACGUACUGUCGUCAUCGAUUUCUCCCUUCUGACGAACCAUGAUGUCAUUAAUUUGGUGUUAUGGGAAAUCAGGACUGUUACUUUGAAAAAAUUAGAGUGUUUAAAGCAGGCAUUAGCUUGAAUACAUUAGCAUGGAAUAAUGAAAUAGGACGUUCGAACCUAUUUUGUUGGUUUCUAGGAUCAACGUAAUGAUUAAUAGGGAUAGUUGGGGGCAUUAGUAUUCAAUUGUCAGAGGUGAAAUUCUUGGAUUUAUUGAAGACUAACUACUGCGAAAGCAUUUGCCAAGGAUGUUUUCAUUAAUCAAGAACGAAAGUUAGGGGAUCGAAGACGAUCAGAUACCGUCGUAGUCUUAACCAUAAACUAUGCCGACUAGGGAUCGGAUGAUGUUAAUUAUUUAAUGACUCAUUCGGCGCCUUACG